rnacentral:rRNA from 1 species
GACGAACGCUGGCGGCGUGCUUAACACAUGCAAGUCGAACGGGCCCGCUCUCUUUUUUGGGGGUGGGUUGAGUGGCGAACGGGUGAGUAUCACGUGAGUAACCUGCCCCCUGCUCCUGGAUAACUGCUUGAAAGGGCGGCUAAUACGGGGUGUGCCGGCUGGUCCGCAUGGGCCUGGUCGGGAUAGUUUCAUCUUCGGGUGUUUCGGUGGGGGAUGGGCUCGCGGCCUAUCAGCUUGUUGGUGGGGUGAUGGCCCACCAAGGCGGUGACGGGUAGCCGGCCUGAGAGGGUGGGCGGCCACACUGGGACUGAGACACGGCCCAGACGCCUGCGGGAGGCAGCAGUGGGGGGUAUUGCACAAUGGGCGGAAGCCUGAUGCAGCAACGUCGCGUGAGGGAUGGAGGCCUUCGGGUUGGGAACCUCUUUCUCCGGUGGUGAAGGCCCUGUCCGUUGCGGCGGGGUUGACGGUAGCCGGGGAUGAAGCGCCGGCUAACUACGUG